UACGUAGGGUGCAAGCGUUAAUCGGAAUUACUGGGCGUAAAGCGUGCGCAGGCGGUUGUGCAAGACCGAUGUGAAAUCCCCGGGCUUAACCUGGGAAUGGCAUUGGUGACUGCACGGCUAGAGUGUGUCAGAGGGGGGUAGAAUUCCACGUGUAGCAGUUAAAUGCGUAGAGAUGUGGAGGAAUACCGAUGGCGAAGGCAGCCCCCUGGGAUAACACUGACGCUCAUGCACGAAAGCGUGGGGAGCAAACAGG
rnacentral:rRNA from 1 species